UAUCUUUUCCAUCCCACUAGAAAAAAAAGGUGAAGAAAUAAACCAGCGACCCCUACCUAGCCGCCGCACCCCACCCCGCCCCUCCUCUUCCAUCUCGAUCCAAUCUUCCUCUCCCCUCACCAUGCCGCCGCCGCCCAGCCCUGGCGCGCAACGAGCUUGCUUGCUCGCACCGAUGUCGGCCACUCCACUCGCCGCCUGCUACCCUCGUCAUUGCAAUGUAUCCCUCUCUGCCCGCACGAAACGCCGAGCAGCCACGACGGUACCCACGCGCCUCGGCCAUGACAACCUCGAUAUCCAUGGCAAGGUGGCCGGCGGCUGGCGGAGGUCAGGUUGAGCAGCUGGGAUUUGGUGGCCGGUCGGCGAGGCACUGAAGGAGGAUGUCCCAGGCCUCAGGAGUUCGGAGGCGAGGUCAGGUGGCGGCACGACGAGCUAAUGGAAGGGACGUGAGGGUGCAGACCUGGCCGGAGGAGGUCGGGCCAGAGCCGGGGGGCAUAGAGGGCAGCCGGUUCAUGGGGGGCCAGGCCUGGCAGGGUGGUUCGCGACCCAAGAUCGGCCACAGGCUAAGGCCGACGAGCGAGACACUUCCAUGGACCUUUGCUACUGCUAACAGUCUGUAUUGUACACUCCGACGUCCACAACCAAAUCAAGGACGGGAGUUUGCGAGGCACUGAAGCACAGCGCAAGGGCACCAUCUCCAUGGCCAACUCCGGGACCAAGGCGAUCGACAUUUUCUUGGCUGGUCCAUGGUGAUUGCUCCCAUGUCUCUUUUAUUUUUUGUUCUUUACAAAAUUUGCUUCUAUAAUAUCAUCAUUUAGUGAAUUUUACCUACCUACACGAGAUAUGACUGGCGCUUCCCUAUUCUCUAAGGUAAUGUAUCAAUUUGCUGCUUAGUUAGGAAGAGGAUGAAUCAUGUUGGAUUUGCAGCGAGAGGAAGCUUGUCGACUUGAUGAACAGGGUAAUGUUUACUGAGGGCGGCUCGGCAAGGAGGAGACCGGAUGUUUGUCGUUGACCUACUUUGGAAGUGAGCUUAUUUAUCUCAUCUGGUCGUUGUUUCCCCUUGAUUAACUUUAGAUGGGGAAGCUUGAUCUCAUAAUGUCCAUGGAGAUAAAGCGGCUCGGACAAAGCAAAGGAGAAAAUACAUGCCCAAAACUGUUGAUCCUGAUUUUCCGACAAUAAUCACUUCAUAUGAGAUGGCCAUGUUUGAUGCAAAAUUUUCUUGCUAAUUAUAAGUGGAAGUAUGUUGUUGUAGAUGAGGGGCAUCGGUUGAAAAAUGCAAAGUGCAAAUUAUUGAGGGAGUUGAGGCGCAUUUCAAUGGAUAACAAGCUCCUUUUGACUUGAACACCUCUUUAGAAUAAUCUAGCAGACUUGUGGUCGCUACUGAAUUUCAUUUUUCCUGAUAUAUUCUCAUCCCAUGACGAAUUUGAUUCAUGGUUUGAUUUUUCUGGAAGUUUGAUGAGGAACAAGAGGAAGAAACUGAUGAGAAGAAAAGAGUCCUUGUUGUCUCAAAGCUUCAUGCCAUUUUGCGUCCACUCCUUUUAAGGGGGGUGGAGGAGGAUGUAGAAUACAUGCUCCCACGAAAGAAAUAAUCAUAUAUGCUAACAUGACUGAAUAUUAGAAGAAAAUCCAGAGUCACUUGAUUGAGCAGACAUGUGGCAACAACUUGCAUGAGAGUGCAUAUAUUGGUGGAGAGAAGAGGAGGAGCGGGCAAUGCCGUGGAGGAGAAGACAGUGGUGAAAAGAAGGUGCGGGCUGAAUGAAGUGGUGUCAAGGGGAGGCUGCAGUGAGAUGUCGUGGAGGGGAGUGAUGGCAGCGACGACGACGUGGCGAGGAGAGCAGGCCGGGCUAAUGAGAGUCAGAGAGUGAAAUGCAUUUUUAAGACUAGUAAGCGUGCACGUGCAAAUGCACGUCUCAACUAAUAUAUAUAUAAGAAUUAACAUACUAGAAAGAUAUUUUGAUUGCACUAAAAAGUACUAUUAUAAAUCAAGAAGACACUUCAAUGUAUCAUCGACUCAUUGUAUUCAUAGAGCCAAAAAAUUAUAGCAGUAUUUCCUGAUGAA